rnacentral:tRNA from 1 species
GAUCGGCAUUGGUCGGGUCCUGCACCGGCUGCCAGCCGGUGGCGUCGGCGAAUGCCUGCGCGGCCCGCAGGAUCGUCGCCCGAUCCUGAUCC